rnacentral:tRNA from 1 species
GCCUUCGUGGUGUAAUGGUCAGCACACUGAGCCCGUAUUUCAGAGGUCCGCGGUUCGAUUCCCGGCGAAGGCG